rnacentral:rRNA from 1 species
AAUCAACGCUGGCGGCGUGCCUAACACAUGCAAGUCGAACGCGAAAGCCCCUUCGGGGGCAAGUAGAGUGGCGUCCGGGUGAGUAACACGUGGGUAAUCUACCUCCGGGUGGGGAAUAACUCGCCGAAAGGCGGGCUAAUACCGCAUAAUGCAGCGGCACCGAAUGGUGAUUAGUUGUUAAAGCGGGGGACCUUAGGGCCUCGCGUCUGGAGAGGAGCCUGCGGCAGAUUAGCUUGUUGGAGGGUAAUGGCCUACCAAGGCUGCGAUCUGUAGCUGGUCUGAGAGGACGGCCAGCCACACUGGCACUGACACACGGGCCAGACUCCUACGGGAGGCAGCAGUGGGGAAUUUUGGGCAAUGGGCGAAAGCCUGACCCAGCAACGCCGCGUGAAGGAGGAAAUCCUUCGGGAUGUAAACUUCACAAGCAAGGGAAGAGCGCGCAGGGUCGAAUAAACUCUGCGUCCGACGGUACCUUGCGUAAGCCACGGCUAACUACGU